rnacentral:rRNA from 1 species
UACGGAGGGUGCAAGCGUUAUCCGGAUUUACUGGGUUUAAAGCGUGCGCAGGCGGCUUCUCAAGUCAGGGGUGAAAGCCCAGAGCUCAACUCUGGAAUUGCCUUUGAGACUGAGUGGCUUGAGUACGAGAGAGGUGAGUGGAAUUCCCAGUGUAGAGGUGAAAUUCGUAGAUAUUCGCAAGAACACCAGUGGCGAAGGCGGCUCACUGGCCCGAUACUGACGCUGAGGCACGAAAGCGUGGGGAGCAAACAGG